rnacentral:misc_RNA from 1 species
GUAACUUAUGGUAACGGAAAGCUACAUCUUACGUAAUAUUUGUUUUCAUUUUGUUUAUUUACAUCAAGGUUUUGUUAAGCCUAAAUUUGAAGUUUUUAUUGCUAUGGAAGAUGAAGUUUCGGUUUCGUUAGAUGGUAAAACUCUUGGUAACCUGCGAGUGGUUGAUUUAAAACAAGAAUUAGAUAAACGGGGUUUAUCGAAAAGUGGAAGUAAAAAAGAUUUGGUUAAACGUUUAAAACAGCAACUUGAAUUUGAGAAGCUGUGUGAAGAAAGAAAGUCAACUAGAGAUUGUGAUCUGAACUUACAACUUGAUGCUGCUACUGAGCAAAAUGAGUUUGUGCAGCAGUAUUUAGCUCAACAGCAAAAAAUAUAUGCUGAACAAAAGGAAGUAAAACGCCUUGUUGAACUUGAAGAAAUCCAUAAAAGUAGUGAUGAGCAAGAGAGUUGUGAAUUUACAAAGGUGGAUGAUAAUCAAGAGACUUUUGAAAAUCUAACUGAAAAUCCAGAAUUAGUCAAAUUAACUGAUAAUGUUAACAAAGAGGAUGAUAAUCAAGAGACUUCUGAUGAUUCAACUGGAAAUUUAGAAUUAAUCAAAAUAACUGAAAAUGCUAACAAAGAGGAUGAUAAUCAAGAGGCAUCUGAAGAUCCAACUGAAAAUUCAGAAUUAGUCAAAAUAACUGAAAAUGUUAACAAAGAGGAUGAUAAUCGAGAGAUUUCUGAAGAGCCAACUGAAAAUCCAAAAUUAGUUGAAGAAAUUAGAACUGUUACCAAAGAGGAUGACAAUAGUCUUAAAGACAAAGAUGUGAAGAGUCCUACAUUAGAAUUUAAAGAUUCCAAGAGUGCUAGUAUGACACACUCUUCUAAAUUUUCAAGUGAUAUUCAAAUUUCAUGCAAUCAAGAAUCUUCUUCAAAUAUGGAUUCUACUACUCCAGUACAAUCUGUGCCUUACUCUUUAUCUGAUAUUCAGUUACCAGAAAGUCCUGGAAGUAUUUCUAAAUCUGUGUCUCAAAUAUCAUCUGAUGUUUCAAGUGCAUCCCAUGUAACCUCAGAAAAGAAUGACAUUGAAUCAACAGAGAAGAAUUCGGAAACUCAGUUGCAUUCAAAUGGUAUUACCUCACCCGGUAUAGUUGUUUCCAGUAGUAAUAAGAAUGCAUCUAAGAGACGGAACUCUAAUUCCGAUUCUGAAGAUCCUACCGGUGAAUCAUGCGAUACACCAAAUUCUGUAAAUUCAGUUAACUGUAGUGAUGAAAAACAAAAGAUUGGAAAUUCUCAAAAGAACAGUUUGAGUGAUACAUCUCAGGCACUAGAACAUAAAACUAAAAAAGAUAAUGCUGUACGUGAAGAGGAAAAGAUAAUUCCAAAAGCAGAUGUAGAGCCUACAAAAGAGCAAUCAAGAGAGUCAUCAAAAGAAAAAGAGAGUGCAAGAAGAUCUAGGUCUUCUUCAGAAGACAGUGAUAAUGGGCGAAGUCCUGAUUCUGGUAAAGCACAUGCUCAAAAGGUAAAAUCUGUUAGUGAUGGUUCAGACGAUGAAAUUAAGAAAAGCAAACGAAACAAGAGUAGUUCCAGUGAUAGUUCACAGAACAGUGAAAGUAGCCAAGAUCGCAAUUUCAAUAAAAGUAAAUCAGUUGGUCACAGAGAUUCUAGUGUUAAUUCUAAUUCUAGUUCUGUGCCUGAUACAGAAAAAACUAAGAAUAAUUCUACGAAUAAUGCUGAACAUAUGUUGAAGUAUGCAAAUGCUGCAUCAUCCAAGCAGAAGCUUAAAAUAAAGCGUGACAAUAUUUUAAUUUCAAAAACUAAGGCAGUACCUAAGGAGACUUCUAAAGAAAGUGGAGCUCUAAAAGAUACUCAAAGUUCAAAUGUUCCUGCAUCACCAUCAUCUAAUUCUUCAGUUAAAGAUGAUGUGCCAAAAGUUGCCGAUGAUAUACUAAAAGCAACUUAUUCUUCUAGGAAAGUCUGCUUAUCAGGUCGUAAAAUAAAUAGAAAAUCAACUGAAGAAAUCCAAUCCGAUGCACCUAAAGUUAAAAAGAGUAAAUGGAGUAGUUUUGCUACAACUCAGAAAAAAUCUCAGUCUAUUAACAUAUCUAUGGAUUCACUUAAAAAUUGGUUUCCUGAUUUUAAGCUUAUUAAUGAGCCUGUUCCUGUAAAUGAAUUGGUUUCUGGUGAAAAUUCUCCAUCUAUUAAAGAAGAAAAAGUUUCAAAUCUUUUCCAUACAGAUUCAACCAGUAUGGAUGAGCCUAGCAUUAAGCCAAAUACAAGUUCUAGAAAACAAGCUGAGCCUGAUAUGAAAUCCGAGUCCAUGGAUGAUAGUCAUGAAGUAGAAAAUGCAUCCAGGAUUAUUUUUAUUCAGAAUUUAGUGCGACCAUUCACACUACAUCAGUUAAAAGAACUGUUGAAACAAAGUGGAAAUAUAAUUGAAGAACAUUUUUGGAUUGACAAAAUAAAAUCCAAGUGCUUUGUUAUGUAUGAAACUAAAGAAGAAGCUAUCAAAGCUAGAAAUGCUCUAAAUGGUACAAGAUGGCCAGUGUCAAAUCCAAAGAUAUUAUCAGUAGACUUUGCCACUGAAGAUGAUAUUGAGUCUCACAAAAGAGGAAGUGAGCCUCCUAAAACUGUACCCGAGCCCACAAAUCAGAAUAUUGAGACUUACGAAGUUAGAAAUGUGCAUCCAGCAGAAGAGCAUCGGAAAAAGGAGAGGGAUCGAAAGAAAGAAAGAGAGAGAUCGAAAACUAGAAUGCCUGUGCGGGAGUGGGAUAAAGAUAAAAUUUCACAGGACUCACCAGAGAAAGACACUACUGUUAACAGAGAAUCUGAUUCAAAAGCCAAAAGUUCAGAGAAAAGAGAGAAGAAAGAUUCUAAACGAAGGCCAAAUGAAGAUACUCCAGCAAAGCUACUAGAUGAUCUGUUUCAGAAAACCAAAGCUUCACCUUGCAUUUAUUGGUUACCAUUGACAGAUGAACAGGUUAAUGAAAGAGAAGAAGCAAAACGCCUAAGAAGAAUUGAGCGUGAAAAGAGAAAUCAACAAGCAAGAGAACAGGAAGAGUCUGAGCGCAAAAGCAAGAGAGCACGGUCUGGUCACAGAAGUCGUGAGGAAUCAAGAAGGAGCUCAACAAGAAGUCGUAGUCCGAUUUCGAGGCACCGAUGAGUUAAAUUGGGUUAAAUUUUUAUAAAUGUAAAAAUCCCUGGCCUCCUAUACAUUGCAUCUAUGAAAAAUCCUACAGCUUCUUAACCAGAUGAAAGCAGCCAAUCGAAAAUGAUUCACCUUUAACGGUGGUCUCCCCCAUCUUUCGACCCAGGAUAUCACACAGGGAUAGAAGUUUUAAGGGUGUGCAGUGUAGGAAUUGUUUCACAAUGAAAAGAUGCCUGAUUGGAACAAAAUGUUUAUAGCUACAUUUUUAAAACAGCAAAGCAGAGUUUGUAAAAUGGACAAUUGUUCCAUAAAUUUUGUCGCGAGUUCUUGGAUAUGAUCUCGGUUCUUCAAAAGUAUAAAAAUUCAUUUCAGAACUGAAUUUACUUUUUUAUAUUUAUGAAUGGCACCUAGUAUAUUGAAUGACAUCACAUGGACAUAAUCACUCAUCCUAAUUACACUUGUGUAAAUCUUUAAGUAUGUCAUUCAUGUUCCAUACAUUUGGCAUGUUAUGUUCAUUAGGUCUUGUUUAUUGAACUUGUAUGUUGUAAAGCAAAAUAAAAUCAUUUCAUUUGUUGCUUUUAUUGAUGGUAUUAAGACCAUGUUUUGCAGUUGUAUACCAGCAUUACUGUAUAUGUAGCUGUUGUAAAAGGUGUUUAUUAAAAUUAAGUUUGAUUCCA